AUGUUAGUAUAAGUAUGUCUCAUGCAAUAUUUGGGACAUGCUUACACUAAAC
rnacentral:pre_miRNA from 1 species